rnacentral:lncRNA from 1 species
CACCAGAACAAACACCACGUUUAGCAGACGAACUUGAGCAUAUUUAUACGAAAGGAAACCAUAGGUCCAUUUUUGUGCAAGGCUUUGAAGCAAACCCUCUAAUGACAUUUUACAAGGCCCCCAGUUAAAGAGAAAGUGCAAGCAGUAAAAAAAUGAACAACCCUUUACAUGCAGAGUUAAAGCCGCGACUGUACACUGUUAAAGCAAGGAUAUGGUGAUGUGAUUUUGAUGAGAUGUCGGUGGAAGAAUAUAGGUCCUGCUGGUAACGCCGGUGGAGAGGGUUAUUUUGAGGAGGCUGUUGUUUUUCUUCCUCCGAUGGUAACAGUGAUGGGAAUCCAAGAAGUGGGAGAGUGUUGGCUCACGGGUUCUCUUUGUUUUCGGAAGCACAUGGAAGAAUGAUGAAGAUUAGUGCUGGUCUGCUGCUGAUUUUGCCGAGCUGGACGGCGUGGAAUGCAAAGGGCUAGUGGCUGGUGAGGCUGCUGCCGUCAAUGAGCAGCGGUGCUGAUGGUUUCUCCACGAGGAGGGUGAGCUGCUGGGCGUCGGUCCGGGGGCAGUGGUAAUGGCUACUGUUUUGGUGAUAGUAGGGAGAGGAAUGGAAGCUGAUUUCGGUGGAGUUAACACUGGUGAGAGGUUAUGCACAGUGUUGAGGAAAUGAAUAUGUAUGUUU